GACGAACGCUGGCGGCGUGCCUAAUACAUGCAAGUAGAACGCGGAAGGAGGAGCUUGCUCUUCUGGAUGAGUUGCGAACGGGUGAGUAACGCGUAGGUAACCUGCCUGGUAGCGGGGGAUAACUAUUGGAAACGAUAGCUAAUACCGCAUAAGAGUAGAUGUUGCAUGACAUUUGCUUAAAAGGUGCAAUUGCAUCACUACCAGAUGGACCUGCGUUGUAUUAGCUAGUUGGUGGGGUAACGGCUCACCAAGGCGACGAUACAUAGCCGACCUGAGAGGGUGAUCGGCCACACUGGGACUGAGACACGGCCCAGACUCCUACGGGAGGCAGCAGUAGGGAAUCUUCGGCAAUGGACGGAAGUCUGACCGAGCAACGCCGCGUGAGUGAAGAAGGUUUUCGGAUCGUAAAGCUCUGUUGUAAGAGAAGAACGAGUGUGAGAGUGGAAAGUUCACACUGUGACGGUAUCUUACCAGAAAGGGACGGCUAACUACGUG
rnacentral:rRNA from 1 species